rnacentral:rRNA from 1 species
UACGGAGGGUGCAAGCGUUGUCCGGAUUUAUUGGGUUUAAAGGGUGCGUAGGCGGCCCUGUAAGUCAGUGGUGAAAUACUGCAGCUUAACUGUAGCAUUGCCAUUGAUACUGUAGGGCUUGAGUACAGAUGAGGUAGGCGGAAUUGAUGGUGUAGCGGUGAAAUGCAUAGAUACCAUCAAGAACACCGAUUGCGAAGGCAGCUUACUAAGCUGUAACUGACGCUGAGGCACGAAAGCGUGGGGAUCGAACGGG